UGGGGAAUAUUGCACAAUGGGCGCAAGCCUGAUGCAGCAACGCCGCGUGAGGGACGACGGCCUUCGGGUUGUAAACCUCUUUUAGUAGGGAAGAAGCGAAAGUGACGGUACCUGCAGAAAAAGCACCGGCUAACUACGUGCCAGCAGCCGCGGUAAUACGUAGGGUGCGAGCGUUGUCCGGAAUUAUUGGGCGUAAAGAGCUCGUAGGCGGCCUGUCGCGUCUGCUGUGAAAACCCGAGGCUCAACCUCGGGCCUGCAGUGGGUACGGGCAGACUAGAGUGCGGUAGGGGAGAAUGGAAUUCCUGGUGUAGCGGUGGAAUGCGCAGAUAUCAGGAGGAACACCGAUGGCGAAGGCAGUUCUCUGGGCCGUAACUGACGCUGAGGAGCGAAAGCGUGGGGAGCGAACAGGAUUAGAUACCCUGGGUAGUCCACGCCGUAAACGUUGGGCGCUAGAUGUGGGGACCAUUCCACGGUUUCCGUGUCGCAGCUAACGCAUUAAGCG
rnacentral:rRNA from 1 species